CGCAGCAGACCCUUUAUCUGCCUUCUAGUAGGGUUAAGACAGUAGAGUGGAAGUAUUCUGGGAUCCAUAAAAAUGCAGAGGGAGUGAUGGUUUCUCUUUGUGUAAAACAUGCGUCAGAAAAGCGGCAGCAAAACACGGGAAAACCUCCAAAAUGUUCGCUCAUUUACGUGACAAUCAUUCUGUUCAAUUCCGCAACAUAAAGAAGGCUGUGGCUUAAAUCCAUAAAAGGAGCUGACUGGACCGAGGAGCGCAUUUCCAAAUCAUGGCUUUGCAGCAAACAUUUUAUUUCAGAGACACUUUAAUUUUCAGAUAAAUCUGGAACAAUGGUGCACAUGCCUGAUUCAAGCAUCACACACAUAUGCCUCAUCACACUGCCUUGUUAGACGGACCAGGGGGCUGGAUGAGACAAAAGGACCAACGUUCCACUGUGGGAAAUUAUCACUGAGUUGGAAUUGGUGCAUCAGAAAUGAUCUUUACAGCCUCUCCAUCCUCAACCCAAACACAGAUGUGGACUCGGGUUUCACCUCUGUUUGCAGAAGCAGAAAGGGGGAGAAAAUGAAAAGAAAAUCCUGAAAAAAAGAUGACCAACAAACUGAACAACUGCAUCUGUUUAACAGGGUAUACAGCGAGCGAGUAUGAGGGAACCAAUUAUUAGCUGCUCUCUGGGCAGGAAGCAGAACGCUCUAUUGCUGCCUGCACUGCCUCAAGUUUGAAUUAAAAUGGCUCUCUCCCUACAAAAAACAAAAACAAACAUAAAAAUGACAGUGCAGGGUAAAAAGACGACAGUAGCCUUGUUUCCAUCCUCUUUUCAUGCUAUGUUGUUAUCGAAAAUUGAAAAUGCGUAAGAAAAAGUUUGGAAAAUUUGUCUUCAGCCUGUUUCCAUUCAAAUGGCCUUUUAUCGAUAAAAUGGUGUGCAUGAUGACGUCAUGCCUAAAAAAACACUUUUUUGCAUAAUUUUUGGUUUAUAGCAAAAUAAAUCUGCCCUUAAGCUGUUUCCAUACAGAGUGUGUUUCCAGUACAAAUGUGUGUUUAUUGCUAAUUGUGUACCUUUCGCAUCCCAAAUAUCGCUAAUUUUUUUCCUCCGAAGAGUUGGUAAAAUGGGGAGAGUAUUGAGACAAUUCAUUGAAAUUAGACAGGUUACUUUCGCAAUUUACGCAAUUUACAUUUUCUGAAGAAGCUCAGCAAAUGGAUCCGAGGUAAAUAGGGUUAGAUUUCAAAUAUUUAAAUGUUUUAAAAUGUUCCAAAGCUCAUUUUCUGAAAGUGAACUCCGCAUUGGGCAAAUAGUUCUGAUGAAUGUGAAAAAAGUGCAGAACAUUCUGAUAAUGUCAUUCAGUCUAAUUAAAGUUUGUGUAAGGAAACGGCAUGUACAGGUCUAAAAAUAUAUUUUUUUUCGUUUGGUAAUUAAUUAUUUUAUUUAAUACUUUAUUCAUUUGGUAAUUUAUUUAAUUUACUACAGGGGAUUUUUUCAAAAGUAUAAACAAUAAUAUUAUUGGCUAUAUGUUUGUGUUCCAAAAAAGCACACUGAAGCUUUUCUCCUAGUAUUGUGUAUUUAUUUUUAAUUAAAACACCUUUGGGCACAGAAAUGAUAUGUUUUUUGUAUUAUUAUUGUGGG